rnacentral:ncRNA from 1 species
AUAAAUAAGGGGCAAUUUGCAUUGUAUGGCUUCUAAACCAUUUAAAGUUUAUUAUUUAUAUUUUAAACGACAAUGGAUGUGAUGCCAAUGUAAUUUGUAACAUAGUAAAUUGGGAGGAUCUUUGAUCACCUGGUGCCAUGCUAGUUACAUAUGAAAACAUUAUUUAAUACAAUGACAAAGCCUAGAAUCAAUUGUAAACGACUUUUGUAACGGGCAAGGUGUUGUAAGUGGUUGAGCAGUUGCCAUACUGCGAUCCACUGAAGCUUAUCCUUUGCAUGAUGAUUCGA